rnacentral:misc_RNA from 1 species
GAAAUGCGAUAAGUAAUGUGAAUUGCAGAAUUCAGUGAAUCAUCGAAUCUUUGAACGCAGCUUGCGCUCCUUGGUAUUCCUUGGAGCAUGCCUGUUUGAGUAUCAUGAAAUCUUCAAAGUAAAUCUUUUGUUAACUCAAUUGGUUUCUACUUUGGUAUUGGAGGUCUUUGCAGCUUCACACCUGCUCCUCUUUGUUCAUUAGCUGGAUCUCAGUGUUAUGCUUGGUUCCACUCGGCGUGAUAAGUUAUCUAUCGCUGAGGACACUGUAAAAGGUGGCCAAGGUAAAUGCAGAUGAACCGCUUCUAAUAGUCCAUUGACUUGGACAAUACUUUUAUGAUCUAAUCUCAAAUCAGGUAGGACUACCCGCUGAACUUAAGC